rnacentral:rRNA from 1 species
AUGAACGCUGGCGGCGUGCCCAAUACAUGCAAGUCGAGCGAACAGACGAGGAGCUUGCUCCUCUGACGUUAGCGGCGGACGGGUGAGUAACACGUGGAUAACCUACCUAUAAGACUGGGAUAACUUCGGGAAACCGGAGCUAAUACCGGAUAAUAUAUUGAACCGCAUGGUUCAAUAGUGAAAGACGGUUUUGCUGUCACUUAUAGAUGGAUCCGCGCCGCAUUAGCUAGUUGGUAAGGUAACGGCUUACCAAGGCAACGAUGCGUAGCCGACCUGAGAGGGUGAUCGGCCACACUGGAACUGAGACACGGUCCAGACUCCUACGGGAGGCAGCAGUAGGGAAUCUUCCGCAAAGGGCGAAAGCCUGACGGAGCAACGCCGCGUGAGUGAUGAAGGUCUUCGGAUCGUAAAACUCUGUUAUUAGGGAAGAACAAAUGUGUAAGUAACUAUGCACGUCUUGACGGUACCUAAUCAGAAAGCCACGGCUAACUACGUG